GGGUUGUGAGGUUAAGCGACUAAGCGUACACGGUGGAUGCCCUGGCAGUCAGAGGCGAUGAAGGGCGUGCUAAUCUGCGAUAAGCGCCGGUAAGGUGAUAUGAACCGUUAUAACCGGCGAUACCCGAAUGGGGAAACCCAGUGUGAUUCGUCACACUAUCAUUAACUGAAUCCAUAGGUUAAUGAGGCGAACCGGGGGAACUGAAACAUCUAAGUACCCCGAGGAAAAGAAAUCAACCGAGAUUCCCCCAGUAGCGGCGAGCGAACGGGGAGGAGCCCAGAGCCUGAAUCAGCAUGUGUGUUAGUGGAAGCGUCUGGAAAGGCGCGCGAUACAGGGUGACAGCCCCGUACACAAAAGCGCAUGUGCUGUGAGCUCGAUGAGUAGGGCGGGACACGUGGUAUCCUGUCUGAAUAUGGGGGGACCAUCCUCCAAGGCUAAAUACUCCUGACUGACCGAUAGUGAACCAGUACCGUGAGGGAAAGGCGAAAAGAACCCCGGCGAGGGGAGUGAAAAAGAACCUGAAACCGUGUACGUACAAGCAGUGGGAGCACAGGUUUACCUGUGUGACUGCGUACCUUUUGUAUAAUGGGUCAGCGACUUAUAUUCUGUAGCAAGGUUAACCGUAUAGGGGAGCCGAAGGGAAACCGAGUCUUAACCGGGCGUUAAGUUGCAGGGUAUAGACCCGAAACCCGGUGAUCUAGCCAUGGGCAGGUUGAAGGUUGGGUAACACUAACUGGAGGACCGAACCGACUAAUGUUGAAAAAUUAGCGGAUGACCUGUGGCUGGGGGUGAAAGGCCAAUCAAACCGGGAGAUAGCUGGUUCUCCCCGAAAGCUAUUUAGGUAGCGCCUCGUGAAUUCAUCUCCGGGGGUAGAGCACUGUUUCGGCUAGGGGGCCAUCCCGGCUUACCAACCCGAUGCAAACUGCGAAUACCGGAGAAUGUUAUCACGGGAGACACACGGCGGGUGCUAACGUCCGUCGUGAAGAGGGAAACAACCCAGACCGCCAGCUAAGGUCCCAAAGUCAUGGUUAAGUGGGAAACGAUGUGGGAAGGCCCAGACAGCCAGGAUGUUGGCUUAGAAGCAGCCAUCAUUUAAAGAAAGCGUAAUAGCUCACUGGUCGAGUCGGCCUGCGCGGAAGAUGUAACGGGGCUAAACCAUGCACCGAAGCUGCGGCAGCGACACUAUGUGUUGUUGGGUAGGGGAGCGUUCUGUAAGCCUGUGAAGGUGUGUCGUGAGGCAUGCUGGAGGUAUCAGAAGUGCGAAUGCUGACAUAAGUAACGAUAAAGCGGGUGAAAAGCCCGCUCGCCGGAAGACCAAGGGUUCCUGUCCAACGUUAAUCGGGGCAGGGUGAGUCGACCCCUAAGGCGAGGCCGAAAGGCGUAGUCGAUGGGAAACGGGUUAAUAUUCCCGUACUUGGUGUUACUGCGAAGGGGGGACGGAGAAGGCUAUGUUGGCCGGGCGACGGUUGUCCCGGUUUAAGCGUGUAGGUGUGUGUUCCAGGUAAAUCCGGUUCACUUUAACACUGAGGCGUGACGACGAGGCACUACGGUGCUGAAGCAACAAAUGCCCUGCUUCCAGGAAAAGCCUCUAAGCAUCAGGUAACAUCAAAUCGUACCCCAAACCGACACAGGUGGUCAGGUAGAGAAUACCAAGGCGCUUGAGAGAACUCGGGUGAAGGAACUAGGCAAAAUGGUGCCGUAACUUCGGGAGAAGGCACGCUGACACGUAGGUGAAGUGAUUUACUCAUGGAGCUGAAGUCAGUCGAAGAUACCAGCUGGCUGCAACUGUUUAUUAAAAACACAGCACUGUGCAAACACGAAAGUGGACGUAUACGGUGUGACGCCUGCCCGGUGCCGGAAGGUUAAUUGAUGGGGUCAGCGCAAGCGAAGCUCCUGAUCGAAGCCCCGGUAAACGGCGGCCGUAACUAUAACGGUCCUAAGGUAGCGAAAUUCCUUGUCGGGUAAGUUCCGACCUGCACGAAUGGCGUAAUGAUGGCCAGGCUGUCUCCACCCGAGACUCAGUGAAAUUGAACUCGCUGUGAAGAUGCAGUGUACCCGCGGCAAGACGGAAAGACCCCGUGAACCUUUACUAUAGCUUGACACUGAACAUUGAGCCUUGAUGUGUAGGAUAGGUGGGAGGCUUUGAAGCGUGGACGCCAGUCUGCGUGGAGCCGACCUUGAAAUACCACCCUUUAAUGUUUGAUGUUCUAACGUGGACCCGUGAUCCGGGUUGCGGACAGUGUCUGGUGGGUAGUUUGACUGGGGCGGUCUCCUCCUAAAGAGUAACGGAGGAGCACGAAGGUUGGCUAAUCCUGGUCGGACAUCAGGAGGUUAGUGCAAUGGCAUAAGCCAGCUUGACUGCGAGCGUGACGGCGCGAGCAGGUGCGAAAGCAGGUCAUAGUGAUCCGGUGGUUCUGAAUGGAAGGGCCAUCGCUCAACGGAUAAAAGGUACUCCGGGGAUAACAGGCUGAUACCGCCCAAGAGUUCAUAUCGACGGCGGUGUUUGGCACCUCGAUGUCGGCUCAUCACAUCCUGGGGCUGAAGUAGGUCCCAAGGGUAUGGCUGUUCGCCAUUUAAAGUGGUACGCGAGCUGGGUUUAGAACGUCGUGAGACAGUUCGGUCCCUAUCUGCCGUGGGCGCUGGAGAACUGAGGGGGGCUGCUCCUAGUACGAGAGGACCGGAGUGGACGCAUCACUGGUGUUCGGGUUGUCAUGCCAAUGGCACUGCCCGGUAGCUAAAUGCGGAAGAGAUAAGUGCUGAAAGCAUCUAAGCACGAAACUUGCCCCGAGAUGAGUUCUCCCUGAGACUUAAAGUCUCCUGAAGGAACGUUGAAGACGACGACGUUGAUAGGCCGGGUGUGUAAGCGCAGCGAUGCGUUGAGCUAACCGGUACUAAUGAACCGUGAGGCUUAACCUUACAACGCCGAAG
rnacentral:rRNA from 2 species